GACGUAGGGCGCGAGCGUUGUCCGGAUUUACUGGGCGUAAAGAGCGCGCAGGCGGCUGGUCAAGUCCGAUGUGAAAUCUCCCGCUCAACUGGGAAACUGCAUCGGAAACUGACCGGCUUGAAGGUGGGAGAGGGUAGUGGAAUUCCCGGUGUAGUGGUGAAAUGCGUAGAUAUCGGAGGAAGACACCAGUGGCGAAGGCGACUACCUGGCCCAUUCUUGCGCUGAGGCG
rnacentral:rRNA from 1 species